ACACUAAGGUGAGCGAGUGAACUAUUGUUAAGGAACUCUGCAAAAUGAGUCCGUAACUUCGGAAGAAGGACUGCUGGUUUUAUACCAGCCGCAGCAAAUAGGCCCAAACAACUGUUUAUCAAAAACACAGGUUUCUGCAAAAUCGUAAGAUGAAGUAUAGGGGCUGACGCCUGCCCAGUGCUGGAAGGUUAAAAGGAGGACUUAGCUUCGGCGAAGGUCUUAAUUGAAGCCCCAGUGAACGGCGGCCGUAACUAUAACGGUCCUAAGGUAGCGAAAUUCCUUGUCGGGUAAGUUCCGACCCGCAUGAAAGGCGUAAUGAUUUGGGCGCUGUCUCAACAAUAGACUCGGUGAAAUUUAAAUUCCAGUGAAGAUGCUGGGUACCCGCGACAGGACGGAAAGACCCCGUGGAGCUUUACUGUAGCUUGAUAUUGAAUGUUUGUGCUGCAUGUGCAGGAUAGGUAGGAGACUUUGAAGUCGGAACGCUAGUUUCGAUUGAGUCACCCUUGAGAUACUACCCCUGUUGUAUGAACGUUCUAACUCUGAUCAGUUAUCCUGAUCGAAGACAGUGUCUGGCAGGCAGUUUGACUGGGGCGGUCGCCUCCUAAAAGAUAACGGAGGCGCUCAAAGGUUUGCUCAGAAUGGUUGGAAAUCAUUCGUAGCGUGUAAAGGCAUAAGCAAGCUUGACUGUGAGACUGACAAGUCGAGCAGGUACGAAAGUAGGACUUAGUGAUCCGGUGGUUCCGUAUGGAAGGGCCAUCGCUCAACGGACAAAAGCUACCCCGGGGAUAACAGGCUCAUCUCCCCCAAGAGUCCACAUCGACGGGGAGGUUUGGCACCUCGAUGUCGGCUCAUCGCAUCCUGGGGCUGUAGUCGGUCCCAAGGGUUGGGCUGUUCGCCCAUUAAAGCGGUACGCGAGCUGGGUUCAGAACGUCGUGAGACAGUUCGGUCCCUAUCCGUCGUGGGCGCAGGAAAUUUGAGAGGAUCUGUCCUUAGUACGAGAGGACCGGGAUGGACAUACCUCUGGUGUACCAGUUGUUCUGCCAAGAGCACCGCUGGGUAGCUACGUAUGGAUUAGAUAAUCGCUGAAAGCAUCUAAGUGAGAAACUAACCUCGAGAUGAGAUUUCCCAUUCGUCAGAAGUAAGACCCCUGAGAGACGAUCAGGUAGAUAGGCUAGAAGUGGAAGUGUAGUGAUGCAUGGAGCGGACUAGUACUAAUAGGUCGAGGACUUAACCAAG
rnacentral:rRNA from 1 species